rnacentral:rRNA from 1 species
GCGUAAAGGGCUCGUAGGUGGUUUGUCGCGUCGUCUGUGAAAUUCCGGGGCUUAACUCCGGGCGUGCAGGCGAUACGGGCAUAACUUGAGUACUGUAGGGGUAACUGGAAUUCCUGGUGUAGCGGUGAAAUGCGCAGAUAUCAGGAGGAACACCGAUGGCGAAGGCAGGUUACUGGGCAGUUACUGACGCUGAGGAGCGAAAGCAUGGGUAGCGAACAGGAUUAGAUACCCUGGUAGUCCAUGCCGUAAACGGUGGGCGCUAGGUGUGAGGGUCUUUUCACGACUUUCGUGCCGUAGCUAACGCAUUAAGCGCCCCGCCUGGGGAGUACGGCCGCAAGGCUAAAACUCAAAGGAAUUGACGGGGGCCCGCACAAGCGGCGGAGCAUGUGGAUUAAUUCGAUGCAACGCGAAGAACCUUACCUGGGCUUGACAUACACUGGAUCGGGCUAGAGAUAGUCUUUCCCUUUGUGGCUGGUGUACAGGUGGUGCAUGGUUGUCGUCAGCUCGUGUCGUGAGAUGUUGGGUUAAGUCCCGCAACGAGCGCAACCCUUGUCUUAUGUUGCCAGCAUUUGGUUGGGGACUCAUGAGAGACUGCCGGGGUCAACUCGGAGGAAGGUGGGGAUGACGUCAAAUCAUCAUGCCCCUUAUGUCCAGGGCUUCACACAUGCUACAAUGGUCGGUACAACGCGCAGCGACACUGUGAGGUGGAGCGAAUCGCUGAAAGCCGGCCUUAGUUCGGAUUGGGGUCUGCAACUCGACCCCAUGAAGUCGGAGUCGCUAGUAAUCG